CACUCCAGCAUCACUUAUUUGACACAAUGAACUCAUCACAGAGACAUCCAAGAAAUAACUCACUCGUUUCCUCCUCUUCUUUUUUCAAAUUCUUAAGAAAGGCAUUGCUGUGAUGGUAAACAAGUUUUGUGAUACAUGAUUACACGGAAAUAGAACAUGAUUAUACUAGGUGCGUUAUUUUGAAAUGCUAAACCCAGCAAGCAUUUAUGAAAAGAGAGAGAAGCAAGGAAC
rnacentral:lncRNA from 1 species